AUGAACGCUGGCGGCGUGCCUAAUACAUGCAAGUCGAGCGAACAGAUAAGGGGCUUGCUCCUUUGACGUUAGCGGCGGACGGGUGAGUAACACGUGGGUAACCUACCUAUAAGACUGGGACAACUUCGGGAAACCGGAGCUAAUACCGGAUAAUAUGUUGAACCGCAUGGUUCAAUAGUGAAAGAUGGUUUUGCUAUCACUUAUAGAUGGACCCGCGCCGUAUUAGCUAGUUGGUGAGGUAACGGCUCACCAAGGCAACGAUACGUAGCCG
rnacentral:rRNA from 1 species